rnacentral:rRNA from 1 species
GACGAACGCUGGCGGCGUGCUUAACACAUGCAAGUCGAACGGAAAGGCCCCUUUGGGGGUACUCGAGUGGCGAACGGGUGAGUAACACGUGAGUAACCUGCCCUUGACUUCGGGAUAACUUCAGGAAACUGGGGCUAAUACCGGAUAGGAAUCCUUGCUGCAUGGUGGGGGUUGGAAAGCUUCGGCGGUUUUGGAUGGACUCGCGGCUUAUCAGCUUGUUGGUGGGGUAGUGGCUUACCAAGGCUUUGACGGGUAGCCGGCCUGGGAGGGCGACCGGCCACAUUGGGACUGGGAUACGGCCCAGACUCCUACGGGAGGCAGCAGUGGGGAAUAUUGCACAAUGGGCGGAAGCCUGAUGCAGCAACGCCGCGUGCGGGAUGACGGCCUUCGGGUUGUAAACCGCUUUCAGCAGGGGCGAAGCUUGUGGUGACGGUACCUGCAGAAGAAGCACCGGCUAACUACGUG